GUAUUUUAAUCACUAACCCCUAAUUAGAAGUAUAGCUGAUUUAGAUUUUUCUCCAUUCUUUAGGCAGGUUCUUCUUCAUUUGAAUGAUGGUGUUCUUCAAGUCUCCAUGCCUUUGCUUAGACUCUUGAGUGACAGCUCCUUGAUGGUCCAUUUAUUUCUAAAGCCCUCCUGAAUAAGAGUGCACACAGCUCUCUUUACUGGAAGCCCCCAAUCAUAUCAGUUCAUGAUAAAGUCAACCAGCUGACCUCUGGACUGACCUCUGGAGACUCUUCAGGGAAGGAAACCAGGAUGAAAAGCUCCCUGUCUCAUUUAGCUCCUUCUGAGGU
rnacentral:lncRNA from 1 species